GCCCGCUUAGCUCAGUUGGUAGAGCACCUGACUCUUAAUCAGGGUGUCUAGGGUUCGAAACCCUAAGCGGGUACCA
rnacentral:tRNA from 1 species